rnacentral:rRNA from 1 species
UACGUAGGGUGCAGGCGUUAAUCGGAAUUACUGGGCGUAAAGCGUGCGCAGGCGGCGGCUCAAGUCAGGUGUGAAAUCCCCGGGCUUAACCUGGGAAUUGCGCUUGAAACUAGGCUGCUUGAGUGUGGCAGAGGGGGGUGGAAUUCCACGUGUAGCAGUGAAAUGCGUAGAGAUGUGGAGGAACACCGAUGGCGAAGGCAGCCCCCUGGGUCAACACUGACGCUCAUGCACGAAAGCGUGGGGAGCAAACAGG